GAUGAAGAACGCAGCGAAAUGCGAUAAGUAGUGUGAAUUGCAGAAUUCAGUGAAUCAUCGAAUCUUUGAACGCACAUUGCGCCCCUUGGUAUUCCAUGGGGCAUGCCUGUUCGAGCGUCAUUUGUACCUUCAAGCUUUGCUUGGUGUUGGGUGUUUGUCUCGCCUUUGCGUGUAGACUCGCCUUAAAAUAAUUGGCAGCCGGCGUAUUGAUUUCGGAGCGCAGUACAUCUCGCGCUUUGCACUCAUAACGACAGCGUCCAAAAGUACAUUUUACACUCUUGACCUCGGAUCAGGUAGGGAUACCCGCUGAAAUUAAGCAUAUCAAUAAGCGGAGGA
rnacentral:misc_RNA from 1 species